rnacentral:misc_RNA from 1 species
AAGUGUUCUGCCGGGGCCCGUCCCCCGUCCCCUCCGGGGGGCGCGGGGCGUGCCUUUGGCUUGGACCCCACCCGUGUUUACACUGACCGUUUGUUGCCUUGGCGGGCCUGCCGCGGCGAGAGCCGAGGCGGCCGGGGGGGAGACCCCGGGCCAGCGCCCGCCAGCGGCCCACCUGAACCCUGAACCUUAUGAACGUACCGUCUGAGUCCCAGUUAAGAAAUAAGCA